rnacentral:rRNA from 1 species
AUUGAACGCUAGCGGGAUGCCUUACACAUGCAAGUCGAACGGAGUGGCGAACGGGUGAGUAAUGUAUCGGAAGGUGCCCAGUAGCGGGGGUUAACUACACGAAAGCGUAGCUAAUACCGCAUCCUUAUGGAGCGGCCGAUAUCGGAUUAGCUAGUUGGUGGGUUAACGGUUCACCUAGGCGACGAUCCGUAGCUGGUUUGAGCGGACUACCAGCCACACUGGGACUUGGCCACGGCCCAGAGUCCGACGGGAGGAAGCAGUGGUGAAUUGUGGACAAUGGGCGAAACCCUGAUCCAGCCAUCCCGCGUGUGCGAGUAAGGCCUUAGGGUUUUAAAGCACUGUUGGCAGGAAAGCGGUACCUGCAGAAUAAGCACCGGCUAACUACGUGCCAGCAGCCGCGGUAAUAC